UAAUUUAAUUACAAAUCAGACCCAUUUCAAGCUUCUACUCUUCUUUUUUUUCAGAUGCAAAAUUACUAUGUGGGUUUCUAACUUUAGACACAGCCUGCAAUUUCUGUUCGAAAACGCAGUUUAUAGCUACUCCAAGCCCGGAUAGAAUCCGGGCGGCACAGCCCAAUAAAAAUCUCAAUAUCAAAUGCCGCUUAAAGGAGGACUAAACACACCACGAACAUGACGCCUGCGCAGCCCGCUUCUCAUCCUCUUAACAUAUUUUCCUCUUCUUUUUUUUUUUAUGUUUCUACAAAUUUUAUUAAUCAAUUGCUCCAUCUACAGAUAGAAAAAGAGAUUAAAAAGAGGGUUGGCUGUGAUGAUUAUAAAAAUUCAUCGUUCUGAAUGCUAUAGCCAUGGCUUGACAGACUCAUUUACACCCAUAGAAUAUGAGCACCGACCCUCUCUUGUCUUCAAUUUCAGAUUCUAUUUUAUCGAAUUUCUUUGCUUUAUUUUAUUUUUAAUUGGAUUAAAACUUAUUUAUCUGAUUUGAUUUGUCUAACUUAAAUCAUUUCCAUGUUAAAUUUAGUGUUUUUAUGCUGAAUUAAUUAAAGGGUUUGAAGGAGCUGGACCAUGAUUUGCAAUGCAUUUGCUUUAAAUGCUUUGUGUUUUGUCAGCUCCUUAAAUUAAAUCUGGUGGUGUUUAAAGCCCUAAUUUGAUGGAAUUUGAAAUUCUGUGGAUUAGGGUUACGCACGCCUCCAUAUCACUUGAUGACUUUAUCUUAACUCGUUUUUUGUUGAAUUUAUUUCUUAUUUUCUUGAGCAUAAGAUGGUUCUUCAAUAAACUGUUAUUUCUAACCAAUUCGGAUUUAUUGAUAGUUACAGCUUAAGCAUCGUAGAAUCUUUCUAGUAAAUUGGUUUCGCAUCGUGGGAGUUUUGGGAGAUUUUGUUUGCAUGUGCUCUAAAUUGUUAUUUCUUACCGAUUCAUACUUCUUGAUUGUUACAUCAUAAGCGUCAUAGGAUUUUUAUAGUUAAUUGUUCUCGCAUUGAAGGAAUUUAGGGAAACUUUAUUUGAAUGUGCUGUAAAACAGGGAAACUCGAGUUUAUAUACUGUUUCUGAUUAAAUAUUUGGUGCUUUGUUUUCUAUUAUACUUGCAUGGUUAUGGGUUUUACCAGCCUUACAACUGGAACCUGUAUGCAAAGGAUUGGUGUUGAUGCUUGUUGAGUACCCAGGCGUGGGUGCCUUGUUAGGUGUAUUGGCCAGAACCUCCAGCAUGAGCAUCCAUCUAUUGAACAUAGACGAGUCAAGCGAAACUAAACGAGUUUGAAAUUGGAGUAGAAUGGGUGUCCUGCGGGUUCGUUGUUGACAGUACCGAAAUCUAUCUCUGUUGCAGUUGUCUGUCUGCUGGGUGGUCACUAGAUAAUUGUGGGAAGGGUGGUUGGGACCUUAAACUCGUUAAAGAUGCGAUUUUGCUAGCAUUUUAUGAACAUUUUGACGCAGAACUUACUGGGAGUUCCAUCUUUGGAAUUUGAUUGCUAUCUUCAAUCAUUCUCCGGCUACAUGUUUUGUGGUCUGUGACUUGGAAUUAAGAAGGGAAGAACAAGAGCGUAACGGACAGAAACCGUGCCAUUAAACCAGAAAGCAAAAGUGAAGGCUUGAGAAGGUUUCAAGAACUUUGAUGCAAUCAUGGUAGAAAAAGAAUAAAAAAAAGCAGAAGAAAUGAUAGAAAUUUCUUGAUUUUCAUGUGGCACUGAUCAGCUAGUAAUUUGAUGGCCUUGGUUUCUUGUUAAUGGACCAAAAACGUAAAUUUAUCAAAUUUGUCAGUUAACUAGAAGCAAUAUGAUGAGCUCUGUUCUUUGCUUCAUCUUAUUGUGUCUCUCCUCUAGUCAAGCAUGUAGUCUCCGCAAUACAGUUCUUGUUUAAAGUUCAAACGAUUGUCUUGGACGAUUUCCUUUGUAUAUUGUACAAUAUCCCAUUCCUUUCCCAGUUCAAAUAAACGUGUUGUGCAAGGAUUUUGUGCCUA